UAACAAGAAGAAGCUUGGUUAGUGUUUUGGAGUCAAAUAUUACUAGAUGUCAUGUGUAUGAGUGAGUAUUGCAACUAGAACCAUAACCGGAUCUUAAAAACCUAAGUAUUGAAUCUUUGUUAGAAGAUACAAAGAUAAAGACUCAUACGGACUUCGACUACACUAUCAAAGCUUUGAGAAGCAAGAAGAAGCUUGGUUAGUGUUUUGGAUUCGAAUAUGACUUUAUGUCAUGUGUAAGACUUAGUAUAAAAACU
rnacentral:sRNA from 1 species